rnacentral:rRNA from 1 species
GACGAACGCUGGCGGCGUGCCUAAUACAUGCAAGUAGAACGCACAGUUUAUACCGUAGCUUGCUACACCAUAGACUGUGAGUUGCGAACGGGUGAGUAACGCGUAGGUAACCUGCCUGGUAGCGGGGGAUAACUAUUGGAAACGAUAGCUAAUACCGCAUAAUAUUAAUUAUUGCAUGAUAAUUGAUUGAAAGAUGCAACUGCAUCACUACCAGAUGGACCUGCGUUGUAUUAGCUAGUAGGUGAGGUAACGGCUCACCUAGGCGACGAUACAUAGCCGACCUGAGAGGGUGAUCGGCCACACUGGGACUUGGACAAGGCCCAGACUCCUACGGGAAGCAGCAGUAGGGAAUCUUCGGCAAUGGACGAAAGGCUGACCGAGCAACGCCGCGGGAGGGAAGAAGGUUGUCGGAUCGUAAAGCUCUGUUGUAAGAGAAGAACGGGUGUGAGAGUGGAAAGUUCACACUGUGACGGUAGCUUAACAGAAAGGGACGGCUAACUACGUG